rnacentral:SRP_RNA from 1 species
CUGCACUAGGUGGGGAGCUAGCGGUGCCCUGUAACUCGCAAUCCGCUACAGCGAGGCUGAAAGAUUACGGAAGGUUUUUGGUGUGGAAAGCAGGCCCUCACAAGGAGUGUUGAUCUCAAGGUCUUGUGCAACGUGACACUGCGAACCGUGUCAGGGUGGGAACACAGCAGCACUAAACAGAUUGAGCGUGUGCCACGAGGUAGCUUUGAAGUAGCCACCUAUGAGUAUACCGUUUCGGCAUCAAUCAUCGACCGUAAUCGUGCAG